AUUGAACGCUGGCGGCAGGCUUAACACAUGCAAGUCGAGCGGGGGGAGGUAGCUUGCUACCGGACCUAGCGGCGGACGGGUGAGUAAUGCUUAGGAAUCUGCCUAUUAGUGGGGGACAACAUCUCGAAAGGGAUGCUAAUACCGCAUACGUCCUAUGGGAGAAAGCAGGGGAUCUUCGGACCUUGCGCUAAUAGAUGAGCCUAAGUCGGAUUAGCUAGUUGGUGGGGUAAAGGCCUACCAAGGCGACGAUCUGUAGCGGGGCUGAGAGGAUGAUCCGCCACACUGGGACUGAGACACGGCCCAGACUCCGACGGGAGGCAGCAGUGGGGAAUAUUGGACAUUGGGGGGAACCCUGAUCCAGCCAUGCCGCGUGUGUGAAAAGGCCUUAUGGUUGUAAAGCACUUUAAGCGAGGAGGAGGCUACUUUAGUUAAUACCUAGAGAUAGUGGACGUUACUCGCAGAAUAAGCACCGGCUAACUCUGUGCCAGCAGCCGCGGUAA
rnacentral:rRNA from 1 species